GACGAACGCUGGCGGCGUGCUUAACACAUGCAAGUCGAACGAAGUGGCGAACGGGUGAGUAACGCGUAAUCAACCUGCCCUUCAGAGGGGGACAACAGUUGGAAACGACUGCUACUACCGCAUACUGAAGGAGGGGAUUGCGUCUGAUUAGCUAGUUGGAGGGGUAACGGCCCACCAAGGCGAUGAUCAGUAGCAGGUCUGAGAGAAGUAACGGCCACAUAGGGUCGGAGACACAGCACAGACUCCUACGGGAGAAAGAAGUGGGGAAUCUUCCGCAAUGGAAGAAAGUCGGACGGAACAACGCCGCGUGAGUGAUGAGGGCCGUCGGGUUGUAAAGCUCUGUUAAUCGGGACGCGGUACCGGAAUAGAAAGCCACGGCUAACUACGUGCCAGCCGCCGCGGUAAUAC
rnacentral:rRNA from 1 species